CAGUAGCCGCGGUAAUACAGAGGGUGCGAGCGUUAAUCGGAUUUACUGGGCGUAAAGCGUGCGUAGGUGGUUGUUUAAGUCUGCUGUGAAAGCCCUGGGCUCAACCUGGGAAUUGCAGUGGAUACUGGGCAACUAGAGUAAGGUAGAGGAUAGUGGAAUUUCCGGUGUAGCAGUGAAAUGCGUAGAGAUCGGAAGGAACAUCUGUGGCGAAGGCGACUAUCUGGGCCAUUACUGACACUGAGGCACGAAAGCGUGGGGAGCAAACAGGAUUAGAUACCCCUGUAGUCCCUGUCUCUUAUAC
rnacentral:rRNA from 1 species